rnacentral:rRNA from 1 species
AUGGCCCACAUGAGUUAUGGGUCAAGAGAUUACUACCAGGGAGAGGCGAGCAUGGAAGCGGAAGCACCAGAGAUGUCCCACCUCGUCGCGAAAGCAGCCGACAUGUCCUGUCGCGUCGCCGUAGCAGCACAAAGGUCCCACCAUGCUGCCGAAGCAGCACAGAGGUCCCGCCGCGCCGCCGAUGCAGCAGACUGGUCCGGUCGCACCGCGGAAGCAACAAAGAUGUCCCUCGGCACCGUGAAUGCAGCAGAGAGGUCCUCCCACACCGCGAAGGCCUGGGAAAAUGUCUCGCAGGCAGGCGAGGACUCUCACAGGCGCAUGCGCACUAUGCUCGAUGACCUGAUGGAUCGGAUCUCCGGCUGGAUGAAGCUGCAGGACGAGAUAAAUGCCUUGUUUGAAAAUGCUACCGGCGUCAUCCGGGGACUAGGGAAGGACAAGGCGAAGGUCCGCAUAGAGCGCGACUUGCUGAGGGCAAAGAUUGCCGGAAGGGUGAAGGAGCACGAGGAGACCACUGCCUUGUUGAAGAGGACGGGAGUCAUCGUCAAGAAACUGAUGGACGAGAAUGCCAUGCUCCGCAUGGAAUGCGAAAGGCUAGUGGAGCAAUCAUUGGAUGCUGCCACACAACAUAUUGAGGACAUGAAAGAGAUCAUCGCCGCUCACUGCGAGAACUAG